rnacentral:lncRNA from 1 species
GCCCGGUCUUUCUGCACCAUCGUCUCCCCUUCCGGAGCUGUGCAGACAACAUCCACUGCUAUUCACAGGGUUUUCAUGGCCAAUUUUUCAGAAGUGGGUGGCCAGGUCCUUCUUCUCAGUCUACCUUAGUCUGGAAGCUCCGUGGAAACCUGUCCACCAUGGAUGGCCCUGCUGGUAUUUGAAAUCCUGGUGGCACAGCUUUCAGCAUCACAGCCACAUGCAGCCACCACAGGAUGACAAUGACAGAUGGGUGGUGUGGGUCCCUGACCAGGAAGUGAACCCAGGCCGUGGCGGUAAGAGCACCGGAUCUUAACCACUAGACCACGGGGCUGGCUACCACUAUUUUCCCAGAGCAAAAAUGGCCACAACUUUGCCCCAGCAUCGCAAGGGACAUCCUGCUGUCCUUCCCUCCUAACAAGAUCAGGACUCAGCUAUUUCAGCAAAAGGCAGAUCUAGAAGACAGCUUUCCUCAUUCUGAGAAAAAGGCAGAUUCCUCGUCUACCGUAGCUCGCACAAAACGGCCCCAGCUUCUCUAAUGGAGCUGCAGUUGACAAAACCCACGCUUCGCAGGCUGCUGAGUGAAAUGCUUAGGAAAGCAAAAUUGGAAGAUGCUGCGCUACUCAAACCGUGAAUGUAUUUUCCACAAUGAUAGCCCAUAUCUGCCCUUAUUCGAUGGAACCAGGCUGUGUUCUUCACACCAUAAGUGUCAUCUUCACAAUAUCUCUACUCAAGAGGCUCAGAAACUCCUCGGCUCGCCAGUGCAUGACGUUCCCAGAGGCUGUUCUAAGUGUAUUUGUGCUAAAGUACAAAAUGACUGUUCGAGCCAUCACUCCUAUCUGGCGGAAACAGAUCCUCAAAAGAAGAUUCUGGGAUCAAUUUGCUUAUCUAUUUGAGGAUCUUCGAAGAGUGAAGUUUGAAAUCCUACCAGGAGAGAGCUCCUGUCCAGCCACAGUCUUGGCAGAAGGAAAGGGGAACACAGAAAUAGAACAUGUCGUAGAAGGAAGCUCUGAUUACUGAACUAUGCUGCAUCCAGGUUUGAUGGUAUUGACAUCACUCCAUGAUGAUUCAGAAGCUGACGGGACUUCAUGAGUCCCGUGAUGGACAAACAAACUUCUCCCACAAACACAAGUGGAUGCUAAGGAAUGAUGGCACCAGAUGUCUUAUUUAUCACUCCAGAUGCAGGAUGCUGUUCGCUGCGGAUUAUAGCAAUUGUCUCCUUCACCUUCUGGGCCGCGGGUGGGCUCCUGUACCAUCCCAGCAGGAGAUCUGACGACGGGAUGAGAACCAGCUGAGGGUGCUUACUUCUUUGCUCCCAUCCUGGGGGUUGCCUCUAGCUGGCUACAUCCCAUAACCAAAGGACACAAUUCCUGUCAUGAUUCCAUGCGGAACAGGAGAUGGAGAAUGUGGGAAAUUAAAGGCUGGGGGACUGGUGCAGUGUCCCCUGAACCAGGUUCUCGUUCAACAAGUAUACGCUGAGUACCUGCCCUGUGCCAGGCACCAUUCUACAGCAGAAAGAAGAGAGAUCAAGUUCCAGCCCUCUGGGGUUUACAUUCCAGUAUAGGAGACAAUCAACAAGUGAACAAAGAAAUGAGCCCACAACAGCAGAACUGUAUAGCUUCAAGAGAGACUACAAAGCUGAAAAUACUUGCUCGCUGGCUCUCUGCAGAGUAAGUUUACCGACCCCUGCUCUCUGGCCUGGAGCCACAGCAUCAUGAUAGAAGGAACUGAGGAGCAGUCCAUUUCCUCUAGGAAUUUUCUGGGAGCCAGAGCAAUGGUCUGCUUAACUAACCCUUCCCGUCUUAGAAUGGGUUGGAGGAAAAUUCACACUCGAGCUUAAUCAGUACAUGGAGAUUGGGGUAACUCUACCUUCUGCCUCCUUGAAUAAACUUGCCCAGAAACUCAAUUCGAAAUGCCCACGUCGGGGAUGGAGAAACAAGCAGAAAAGAAAGCUCCAGCCCGUGGCCUCAGGUCGAACUCGGAGUGAACUUCUGCACGACCAAGCAACUUCAAGUUCUCAGCUUGCUGCGUAUUUCUCCCACCUCCACCCCUGCUUUCUGUGUGGUACUGCUGAUUCUAGCUGCUAAUAACACUUAAUCUACCCAACAACAUCGACAUCAGAGAAAAUGACUGGGAUCAGAAAUCCUCCCUCACCUCUCGCCUUGCAGCCUCUGAAGAAGGCUCUGCCACUGUCUGCAAGUGAAGCCUAGCCUGAAGCCUUCAGCUUCCAGAGGCCAAGCAAAUGUUAUCCUAACAUGGGUCACGGUAGGUGGGUGGUUGGCAAACCUGUUGAUACACUACGCUGUCUACAACAUAACUUGUUGCAAAGCUGAAUUAACAGUAGCCCCAAGGCCAGCUGAAGACUGCGCACAGAUUAUCCCCAUUCCUAUUUUAAGAUUUGAAUCUAACAAACAGCACAGACUGCUCCGCCAUCAUUUGCUUACCACUUGUUUGUAUCUAUUUUUCUGUGUUACUAACUUUAGCCAUGCUUUUUGCCACAGGAUUGAGUCUGAGAGCAGGCAGACAUGGACUCAAGAAAGACAGAUGAUGGUUUAAAUUUACUCUCACAGGAUAAAGACCAAAACAGCCUUCUCCUGUUCAAGGACCCCUCGAAGCUGGUUAGCUAAUAGCCAAUUUUUUUUUUUAAAGACUUUAUCUUUUUUCAUUUUUCUCGCCAAAGCCCCCCGGUACAUAGUUGUAUAUUCUUCGUUGUGGGUCCUUCUAGUUGCGGCAUGGGGGACGCUGCCUCAGCGUGGUUUGAUGAGCAGUGCCACGUCCGCGCCCAGGAUUCGAACCAACGAAACACUAGGCCGCCUGCAGCGGAGAGCGCGAACUUAACCACUCAGCCACGGGGCCAGCCCCACUAAUAGCCAAUUUUGAGCACCCUAAAAAUCAUGACAAAGUGACAGGAUCCUAGUCAUCAUGUUCAUAGUAUAAUUUCUCAUUUGGAUGAUGAUAAAUUCAUAAAUUUUAGAGCAAAAUAGCUGUAAAGAAUAGUAGUCAGGUGAAAUUUGGGUAUAAAAUGAUCUGGGUGUGAACUUGGGCUGUGGUCUUUACUCUCCGUUCCACCCUGGACAAGUCACUUACCCCCCCUAGAAUGCAGUUUCCUACUGGGAAAAUGAAGGGAGUGGACUGGUUCCAUGAAGUACCCUCCAGCAGCAAAAGUCUAUGAAUCUCCAUCCGGUCUAGGUUAACCCCUUCCUUUACAGAUGUAGAAACUGAACACACAAGGGUGAACUCUAAAACAGCUAGUUAGGGGUAUAGAUGAGUUUGGAAUCAGUCUUUGAUAUUUUGUUUUAAAUUAACUGGGUGUGGGGGGCAGGUGUGGGUGUGUAUGUGUGCGUAGGUGUUCUGAAGAGCUCAAAAUCAUAAAAAUGCAAUACCCCUGGCCCCGGGCCUAACUUCAUGUGAAUUUCUGCAUCUUUCUGUUCUUAGAAUCUCUGUUCUUAGAACAGAAGGGGCCAUAAAGAUUGUGCAUGGCACCCUACUCAAUUUAUAGGCAAGAACUUAGAAGACACCCCAACUGGAACACCAGAGCUGGGAGCACAUCUCAGGCCUUAGAACACACAAAGGCCUGAACAAUGACGUGGUUUGUAUUGACUCUCAGCCCAAGUGGUAUUUCUCAAAUUUUCUUAGUAAUGAAUGACUUACGAAAAAAGCUAGUGAUUAAAUGUCAUUUGCUGGAUUUUCUCUAAAUAAAAAUCAUUUUCUAAGAGUCACUAACCGCUUACUAUAAUGACUUUACUGUGGGAUUACUUUAAUUUUACUGUGGAAAUAAGGAUUAUGUCAACUUCCUUUACCUCAGAAGUCUUGAAAUGGAAAAUUUUGCUUGUGUAAGUACAUAGU